rnacentral:rRNA from 1 species
UACGUAGGGUGCGAGCGUUGUCCGGAAUUAUUGGGCGUAAAGAGCUCGUAGGCGGUCUGUCGCGUCGGUCGUGAAAACUUGGGGCUUAACCCUGAGCUUGCGGUCGAUACGGGCAUGACUGGAGUUCGGUAGGGGAGACUGGAAUUCCUGGUGUAGCGGUGAAAUGCGCAGAUAUCAGGAGGAACACCGGUGGCGAAGGCGGGUCUCUGGGCCGAUACUGACGCUGAGGAGCGAAAGCGUGAGGAGCGAACAGG